rnacentral:rRNA from 1 species
UACGGAGGUGGCAAGCGUUAUCCGGAUUUACUGGUUAAAGGGUGGCGUAAGGUGGGUCUGUAAGUCGAGUGGUGAAAUCUUCGAGCUAACUCGGAAACUGCCAUUGAUACUAUAGGUCUUGAUUAAUCUGGAGGUAAGCGGAAGUAUGUCAUGUAGCGGUGAAAUGCUUAGAUAUGACAUAGAACACCAAUUGCGAAGGCAGCUUACUACGGAUUGAUUGACACUGAGGCACGAAAGCGUGGGGGAUCAAACAGG